CGCCCAGGUAGGCCACGCGUAAAUGGAGCGGGCUGCGGAGUGAGGAAGGCAGUCUUGAGACGGAGCACCACUUGCGCCGUGUCUUCCUCCUGAUAGCAGA
rnacentral:lncRNA from 1 species